rnacentral:rRNA from 1 species
GAUGACCUCUAGCUACAGGCUUAACACAUGCAAGUCGAGGGGAAACGACAUCGAAAGCUUGCUUUUGAUGGGCGUCGACCGGCGCACGGGUGAGUAACGCGUAUCCAACCUGCCCACCACUUGGGGAUAACCUUGCGAAAGUAAGACUAAUACCCAAUGACGUCUCUAGAAGACAUCUGAAAGAGAUUAAAGAUUUAUCGGUGAUGGAUGGGGAUGCGUCUGAUUAGCUUGUUGGCGGGGUAACGGCCCACCAAGGCAACGAUCAGUAGGGGUUCUGAGAGGAAGGUCCCCCACAUUGGAACUGAGACACGGUCCAAACUCCUACGGGAGGCAGCAGUGAGGAAUAUUGGUCAAUGGACGAGAGUCUGAACCAGCCAAGUAGCGUGCAGGAAGACGGCCCUAUGGGUUGUAAACUGCUUUUAUAAGGGAAUAAAGUGAGUCUCGUGAGACUUUUUGCAUGUACCUUAUGAAUAAGGACCGGCUAAUUCCGUGCCAGCAGCCGCGGUAAUACGGAAGGUCCGGGCGUUAUCCGGAUUUAUUGGGUUUAAAGGGAGCGUAGGCCGGAGAUUAAGCGUGUUGUGAAAUGUAGAUGCUCAACAUCUGAACUGCAGCGCGAACUGGUUUCCUUGAGUACGCACAAAGUGGGCGGAAUACGUGGUGUAGCGGUGAAAUGCUUAGAUAUCACGAAGAACUCCGAUUGCGAAGGCAGCUCACUGAAGCGCAACUGACGCUGAAGCUCGAAAGUGCGGGUAUCGAACAGGAUUAGAUACCCUGGUAGUCCGCACGGUAAACGAUAGAUGCCCGCUGUUGGUCUGAAUAGGUCAGCGGCCAAGCGAAAGCAUAA